ACUUUGAUAGCUCAGUUGGUAGAGUGUAGGACUGUAGAUUCUUAGGUCGCAGGUUCGAGUCCAGCUCAAAGGA